ACAAACUUGGUCAUUUAGAGGAAGUAAAAGUCGUAACAAGGUCUCCGUUGGUGAACCAGCGGAGGGAUCAUUACAAAGAGAGUGCUACACGUACUCGCCAACCCUCUGUGAACAUACCUGAACGUUUGCUUCGGCGGGCAGCCCUAGGGCGGGGCCGCCGCCUCCCUCGCGGGAGGUGCCCGCCGGAAGCCCCCCACACUCUGGUUUUUUUAUGUCUUCUGAGUACUAAAAGAAAUAAAUCAAAACUUUCAACAACGGAUCUCUUGGCUUUGGCAUCGAUGAAGAACGCAGC
rnacentral:misc_RNA from 1 species